GCAGCUCUUUACCUGCCAAAUCUGAUUCUUUCCUUGUAGAUUCUGCACUCCACAUUUCCCAGAAAAGGAAUAGUAAACUCCGUAGAGAUGCCUGGUAGAGAGAAAAAAAGAAUGGUUCGGGCUGCA